rnacentral:rRNA from 1 species
ACGGGAGGCAGCAGUGGGGAAUAUUGGGCAAUGGGCGAAAGCCUGACCCAGCAACGCCGCGUGAGGGAAGAAGGUUUUCGGAUUGUAAACCUCUAUCGUGGAGGACAAAGGAAGUGAUGGUACUCCACAAGGAAGCCCCGGCUAACUACGUGCCAGCAGCCGCGGUAAUACGUAGGGGGCGAGCGUUGUCCGGAAUGACUGGGCGUAAAGGGCGUGUAGGCGGCCGAUUAAGUCUGGAGUGAAAGUCCUGUUUUCAAGAUGGGAAUUGCUUUGGAUACUGGUUGGCUAGAGUGCGGAAGAGGUAAGUGGAAUUCCCAGUGUAGCGGUGAAAUGCGUAGAGAUUGGGAGGAACACCAGUGGCGAAGGCGACUUACUGGGCCGUAACUGACGCUGAGGCGCGAAAGCGUGGGGAGCGAACAGGAUUAGAUACCCUGGUA